ACAAUUUAGAGAAAAAAAGUUCAGACAGUCCUCCAAAUAGUAUUAACCAUGAGAGGUCCCUGGGGAAUUGGGCGGGGGGCGACAAAAAUGGUUUUCGGGACUUUGACGCUUUCGUGAUACACUGAUCACGACAUAUCGACAUAUCGCAUUCGACGUAGAAUUAGUUCUUACAUCUAAGCCAAUUAAUUUUUACAAGUGUUAACGAAAUUAACGAGAGAUUGGGAGCAAAAAGGGAAAAAAGAGGGGAAACUUCUAAAAUAUAGGAAAAAAUGUCUUCUAAAAUUAGAGGAUGCAACCACCUCUAAAUGAAAGAAGAACUUUCCGUUUAACCGAAAAGAUUAAAUUUGCUAGGGGGUUUUUCUCGUUCGCGAGAUAUCUGUAAAAGAAAAAGACUGUGGAGAUUUAUUGCAAUUGAUUGAUUGAAUGUUUGUGAUUGAUUUUAUCUCGUGAAACAAUGUGUCUACGUUUCAAAUCUUAACUAUUGCAGGAUUCUAAUAAGAAAAAAAAACAUGCCUUCAGUGUCACAACUGAUGGCAUCAUUUACCUAUCAAAUCUGUGCAAGAUUGGAAGAUAGUUCACAUAUGUGGGUGCUGAAUUAACUGGAAAACGUAACGAAAUGGAAUUGACAAUUACAUUUAUCAUCAGACAUUCCUCCAUUUGAGAAAAUUUUGUCGUAAAGAUGACAAGUUGGAUACCAAACAAACAUUCCCUGAUUUAAAAGGCCUUGAUGAUUUAAUGGCUAGCAAAAUUUUAUCAACAAAGAGAAAUGGAAAGCUGCAGCCGUGGAAAAUGGAUUUGACAAUAACAUUUAUCAUCAGUCAUACUACAGUUUCAAAAAAUUUUGUCUUGAAGAUGACCAGUUGCCAGUCGAUUACCAUGUCACCCUAAGUGAUAUUAUAGCAGGAGCUUGUCAUUUAGAUAGUUUGUUACCAUACUUUAUUCGACAUGCAAAACAAGCUUUCCCUCAUUUACAAUGCCUUGAUGAUUUGAAAAAAGUCACUCAUCUUCGCCUUCCUGCUAAUUGGUAAAAUUUCAAGAAAUGUGAUUGUUCAUAGAGUUAUAUCAUUUUGGUUCUUUGAAAUUUUUAGGUAACCAAAGCAAGAGCAAGAGCCUUGACACGGAAAAUUGUAUUUCAUCAUGUUCUAAAUCUCCUUUUUACCAUGUUUCCUGCACUGUUGAAAUGAUCUAAGACAAAAUCAUAUCAUCUCUUCUCCUGUUAAGUGCCAUUUUACAUAGAUAAUAAAAACGACUCUUGUGUUA